rnacentral:rRNA from 1 species
UACAUAGGGUGCAAGCGUUGUCCGGAAUUAUUGGGCGUAAAGAGCUCGUAGGCGGUCUGUCACGUCGGCUGUGAAAACCCGAGGCUCAACCUCGGGCCUGCAGUCGAUACGGGCAAACUAGAGUACUGCAGGGGAGACUGGAAUUCCUGGUGUAGCGGUGAAAUGCGCAGAUAUCAGGAGGAACACCGGUGGCGAAGGCGGGUCUCUGGGCAGUAACUGACGCUGAGGAGCGAAAGCGUGGGGAGCGAACAGG